CGCCAGACUCCUACGGGAGGCAGCAGUGGGGAAUAUUGCACAAUGGGGGGAACCCUGAUGCAGCGACGCCGCGUGGGUGAAGGAGCACCUCGGUGCGUAAAGCCCUAUCGGCAGGGAAGAAACAGACGGUACCUGACUAAGAAGCCCCGGCUAACUACGUGCCAGCAGCCGCGGGAAUACGUAGGGGGCAAGCGUUAUCCGGAUUCACUGGGUGUAAAGGGGGCGCAGACGGCGAUGCAAGCCAGGAGUGAAAGCCCGGGGCCCAACCCCGGGACUGCUCUUGGAACUGCGUGGCUGGAGUGCAGGAGGGGCAGGCGGAAUUCCUGGUGUAGCGGUGAAAUGCGUAGAUAUUAGGAGGAACACCAGUGGCGAAGGCGUCUUACUGGACCGAAACUGACGUUGAGGCUCGAAAGCGUGGGGAGCAAACAGGAUUAGAUACCCUUGUA
rnacentral:rRNA from 1 species